rnacentral:rRNA from 1 species
UGGCGUACGGGUGAGUAACACGUGGGUAAUCUGCCUCUUAGUGUGGAAUAACCCUGGGAAACCGGGGCUAAUACCGCAUAAUCGAAAGGAAAGCAGCGCUGAGAGAGGAGCCCGCGGCCGAUUAGCUAGUUGGUGGGGUAAGAGCCCACCAAGGCUGAGAUCGGUAGCCGGCCUGAGAGGGCACACGGCCACACUGGCACUGAAACACGGGCCAGACUCCUACGGGAGGCAGCAGUGGGGAAUCUUGCACAAUGGGGGAAACCCUGAUGCAGCGACGCCGCGUGAGCGAUGAAGCCCUUCGGGGUGUAAAGCUCUUUCGGCAGGGAAGAUUGACGGUACCUGCAGAAGCAGCUGCGGCUAACUACGUGCCAGCAGCCGCGGUAAUACGUAGGCAGCAAGCGUUGUUCGGAGUUACUGGGCGUAAAGGGUGUGUAGGCGGCUUUUUAAG